rnacentral:rRNA from 1 species
CUACGGGAGGCAGCAGUGGGGAAUCUUGCACAAUGGAGGAAACUCUGAUGCAGCGAUGCCGCGUGAGUGAAGAAGGCCCUUGGGUUGUAAAGCUCUUUUGUCGGGAAAGAUAAUGACUGUACCCGAAGAAUAAGGUCCGGCUAACUUCGUGCCAGCAGCCGCGGUAAUACGAAGGGACCUAGCGUAAUUCGGAAUUACUGGGCGUAAAGCGCGCGUAGGCGGUUAAGUAAGUUAAUCGUGAAAGCCCAAAGCUCAACUUUGGAAUUGCAAUUAAAACUACUUAGCUAGAGUUUAUCAGAGGAAAGCGGAAUACAUAGUGUAGAGGUGAAAUUCGUAGAUAUUAUGUAGAACACCAGUUGCGAAGGCGGCUUUCUGGGAUAACACUGACGCUGAGGUGCGAAAGUAUGGGUAGCGAAGAGGAUUAGAUACCCUCGUAGUCCAUACCGUAAACGAUGAUUGUUAGAUGUUGGAAAUUUAUUUUCAGUAUCACAGCUAACGCGUUAAACAAUCCGCCUGGGGAGUACGACCGCAAGGUUAAAACUCAAAGGAAUUGACGGA